GAUGAACGCUGGCGGCGUGCCUAAUACAUGCAAGUCGAGCGAAUGGAUUAAGAGCUUGCUCUUAUGAAGUUAGCGGCGGACGGGUGAGUAACACGUGGGUAACCUGCCCAUAAGACUGGGAUAACUCCGGGAAACCGGGGCUAAUACCGGAUAACAUUUUGAACCGCAUGGUUCGAAAUUGAAAGGAGGCUUCGGCUGUCACUUAUGGAUGGACACGCGUCGCAUUAGCUAGUUGGUGAGGUAACGGCUCACCAAGGCAACGAUGCGUAGCCGACCUGGGAGGGUGAUCGGCCACACAGGGACUGAGACACGGCCCAGACUCCUACGGGAGGCAGCAGUAGGGAAUCUUCCGCAAUGGACGAAAGUCUGACGGAGCAACGCCGCGCGAGUGAUGAAGGCUUUCGGGUCGUAAAACUCUGUUGUUAGGGAAGAACAAGUGCUAGUUGAAUAAGCUGGCACCUUGACGGUACCUAACCAGAAAGCCACGGCUAACUACGUGCCAGCCGCCGCGGUAA
rnacentral:rRNA from 1 species